GUAUCUCUUAGUUGGUUCAACUUGGUUAAUUUUGUAGUUGGACUCUUUUCUCAUAGGUUUCUUACUAUCUUCCUAUUAAUUAUGAGGACAAGUGAAUGCCCAGAGAGAUCAAAACUUAUUCAAAUCUAGCAACAGCAAGAAUAUGUAAAUAGUGACUAUGGCCUUUAUAAUCACAGAUCUUCUUGUUAAUAAUUAAUAUCAGGGAAAAUUUUUCUCUUCUACUUGUUUUUCUUUUUUGGUAAUUAUUUUGGCCCUUCUUUCCCUUGUGCAUGCAUAUUUUACUCCUUUUUAGCACCCAAACUGAAAAUUGAGCAAAGCUCACCCAAAGUUAAAUUUUGUGUGUGUGUUUUCACGUGGUGAACAUAUUGAGAUUGUUUCUAGUCUUGUUGUAAAUUUUCAUUUCUCCAUAUUAUGCAUCAAAGAUGGUGUUGAGAUUAGAGAGAAUUGAA
rnacentral:misc_RNA from 1 species